GGAAGAAGAAGAAGAAGAAGAAGAAGAAGAAAAGUAUGUGUACAAUGUAAAGGUACAGCUAAGUACGGAAAAAGAUAUGGAGCCCACAAUGGUGUUGGUGCUAAUGCUGCUCAGCACUCUGCACUUGCUAAGAAAAAGAUUCAAUCUUAUGAACUGUAAUUGUGAAUUUGAGAUAGCAACAAAGGAGAGAGCAAAAGAGGCUGCGGCCGUAUGCCGUGUGGGAUUAGGAUUAUUAACAAAUUGCUGUGAGUGCCGUCCAUUUGGCUUCACUCUUUUGUUGACUUCACCAUCUGUAGAUGAAAGCCGAGUUUGGGAUUGUAGUUGUAGUGAAGUGAGUAACAAAAUCAAGUGCUUUGGAGUAUAGUGAAUCCUGAUAUCUAUCUCUAUUUAGGAAGUGACAAGUUGGGGGGAGAAAUGAGUAUGAGAUGGAAAGGAUAGAUAAGAUAGAGGGAGAAAGUGGGUGGAAGAAAGUGGAAGGUAAAGGGAGGAAGAGAAGGCCCAGUUGAUAAACGGGCCACACCAGACUCAGGGUCAGGGGGAAACAACGGACGCCACUUUGGGUUGGCUCAGGCUGUCUCCCAAUAAAACUGACCCUUCGUUACCACCAACCCUCACCCACUCGCUUUCCCUCUCCUUUUUUCAUAUCCUUCUUAGUUCUUUCUUUCCAAUCGCAUUUAACAUUUUCCGCAUACAACUGUACAUUAUAUCAAACCUUUUCUAUUCCCCUACAAAUGCAAAUGAUUGUGAUAUUUUUAUACUUUCUUUCAAUUCUAAUACAUCAAACUUUUUCCAUGUGCAAAAUUCUAUAUUGAAAAAAUCAAUACGACUUUAACUUUUUAUAAGAUAAAUGAAUCACUAUUCUUAUUCAUAAUUGGCUUUGAGAUGGAAUUUUAUACUAUCAUAUAUAGAAUCUAUCAAACCCAUAUAGGUAUUCAAUCUAAUAAAAAAAAUCAUUCAAUCUGUUCAAGAUUGGUCAUCCCAAAAAAUGGACGGACAUGUUGAGGAUCUCACACUGAAAAAACAAAAGGAACUAACUCUUUGUAAGAUAGAUAAGAAGAAAUUACAUACUUUCAAAUAUAUAGUCAUAUCUACAUCUAUACAAACUAAAUUAAAGUUUUCAUUUUUCAUUAAAAAUUUGAGAGGGCAACCGACUACACAUUAGUUUAACUCUCCAAACCUUUCAAAUUUUAAUUGGAUUAAGUUGAAUUGCUAUUUUUUUUUUUAUUAACUUAUAAUAUUCUAAUUUAUCUUACAUUAUAGCUAAAAUCUCAUAAAACAUAUCUAUUAUAAAUCUUGAACAAAGACAAUAUUGCAACAAAUCCUUAAAGAAAAAGGAUAAAAAUUCAACCUAAAGUUGAAACCCUAAAAUUAAAAAUAUGCAGAUGCAAUUGGGGUUAAGUAAACUCAAAACCAACUUGACAAAAUAGAAAACAUUUAUUAAACCUAACACACAUUUAUUAUAUGGGAUUGGAUAGUUGAAAUUGAAAAUAUUCGAAUAUUCGAAUCAUUUGAACACCCCCACAGCUGAAGUAGUUAUUGGUCAUAUUUUGUCGUAGUUAUUGUAAUAGUGGUAGAGUUUGAAAAAGUGCAUAUUGUUUUCUUCGGAUAAAGGAGAAGGGAAUAUUUGAGGUAAAAGAAAAGAAGGUGUACUUUUGGAGUUUGAAAGUUUGAAAAAAUGAAGUUGGGGCGAGGCCCAUAUGCUUCGGCCUUGUCUAUAGGACCACUAGCCUUCAUCCCUCCUUAGGGGCCACUACAAAUAUCUAUACAAAAUCCCCAUUUUCAACCCUACAAUACCAAAGUCAGAUUUGAAUUAAACCUUUUUUCUUCUCUCCACUUCGUUUCCAGGAAACAACGUGUGGAAUAAAUUCCUCAGACGGCACCAAUUGCUAGAUUUUAUUUUUCUUUAUGUCAAAAAUAUCUCAAUUAGAUUUAUUGCAUUAAUCAAUUUCUAAUCUUUUUAUAUAUAUAACUUGAAUAAGUUCAUAGACUGAACCAACAUAACCAUGGAUAUUUGAGGACUAAAACUGUAACUUAACCAGUUGUUAAAUAAAAUAUAGAUAUGUUACAAAUUUACGGCAUAUAUAUAAAGACGAAAUUAUGCACAA